rnacentral:rRNA from 1 species
GAUGAACGCUGGCGGCGUGCCUAACACAUGCAAGUCGAACGGAGAUUACGGACGGAAGUUUUCGGAUGGAAGACUGUAAUUCUUAGUGGCGGACGGGUGAGUAACGCGUGGGCAACCUGCCCUAUACAGGGGGAUAGCAGCUGGAAACGGCUGGUAAGACCGCAUAAGUCGGUUAAAUCGCAUGAUUUGAUCGGGAAAUGAGCAAUCAGGUAUAGGAUGGGCCCGCGUCCGAUUAGCCAGUUGGCAGGGUAAAAGCCUACCAAAGCGACGAUCGGUAGCCGGACUGAGAGGUCGGACGGCCACAUUGGGACUGAGACACGGCCCAAACUCCUACGGGAGGCAGCAGUGGGGGAUAUUGCACAAUGGAGGAAACUCUGAUGCAGCGACGCCGCGUGAGUGAAGAAGUAUUUCGGUAUGUAAAGCUCUAUCAGCAGGGAAGAUGAUGACGGUACCUGAAUAAGAAGCCCCGGCUAACUACGUG